rnacentral:rRNA from 1 species
GACGAACGCUGGCGGCGUGCCUAAUACAUGCAAGUCGAGCGGACGAAUCGAAAGCUUGCUUUUGAUUCGUUAGCGGCGGACGGGUGAGUAACACGUGGGCAACCUGCCCUGUAGACGGGGAUAACACCGAGAAAUCGGUGCUAAUACCGGAUAACACGAAAUGUCGCAUGACGUUUCGUUGAAAGACGGCGCAAGCUGCCGCUACAGGAUGGGCCCGCGGCGCAUUAGCUAGUUGGUGAGGUAACGGCUCACCAAGGCGACGAUACGUAGCCGACCUGAGAGGGUGAUCGGCCACACUGGGACUGAGACACGGCCCAGACUCCUACGGGAGGCAGCAGUAGGGAAUCUUCCGCAAUGGACGAAAGUCUGACGGAGCAACGCCGCGUGAGCGAAGAAGGCCUUCGGGUCGUAAAGCUCUGUUGUUAGGGAAGAACAAGUAACGCAGAAACUGGCGUUACCGUGACGGUACCUAACGAGAAAGCCACGGCUAACUACGUG